rnacentral:tRNA from 1 species
UAUAAGCUAUCGCUAAAGGAUGGGUCUGCGUCUGAUUAGCUAGUUGGUGAGAUAAAAGCUCACCAAGGCAACGAUCAGUAGCCGGUCUGAGAGGAUGAACGGCCACACUGGGACUGAGACACGGCCCAGACUCCUACGGGAGGCAGCAGUGGGGAAUCUUCCGCAAUGGACGAAAGUCUGACGGAGCAACGCCGCGUGAGUGAAGAAGGUUUUCGGAUCGUAAAGCUCUGUUGUUAAGGACGAAUGUAUAGAUUGUAAAUAAUGAUUUAUAAUGACGGUACUUAACGAGAAAGCCACGGCUAACUACGUGCCAGCAGCCGCGGUAAUACGUAGGUGGCAAGCGUUGUCCGGAAUUAUUGGGCGUAAAGGGAGCGCAGGUGGGAAUGUAAGUCAAUCUUAAAAGUGCGGGGCUCAACCCCGUGAUGGGAUAGAAACUACAUUUCUUGAGUGCAGGAGAGGAAAGUGGAAUUCCUAGUGUAGCGGUGAAAUGCGUAGAUAUUAGGAGGAACACCAGUGGCGAAGGCGACUUUCUGGACUGUAACUGACACUGAGGCUCGAAAGCUAGGGGAGCGAACGGGAUUAGAUACCCCGGUAGUCCUAGCCGUAAACGAUGGGUACUAGGUGUAGGAGGUAUCGACCCCUUCUGUGCCGGAGUUAACGCNCAUAAGUCAAGCUACUAAGGGCAUACGGCGGAUGCCUAGGCGCCAAGAGCCGAAGAAGGACGCGAUAAGCUGCGAAAAGUCAUGGGGAGCCGCAAGUAGGCAUUGAUCCAUGAAUAUCCGAAUGGGGGAACCCAGCAGUCGUAAUGGACUGUUACCCAUGCCUGAGAGCAUGAGGAGGUAGACCCGGGGAACUGAAACAUCUAAGUACCCGGAGGAAAAGUAAUCAAUUGAGAUUCCCUAAGUAGCGGCGAGCGAACGGGGAAGAGCCCAAACCAGCCAACUUCGGUUGACUGGGGUUGAGGACUGACAUAAAUCAGAAAUGGCUUAGCUGAACGAUCUGGGAAGGNCGAUGGACAACUGGCAAAAAUUCCAGUACCACCAAUAAUUGUUUGAGUGAUGGAGUGACACAGAAGGAAGUUCGAGCAUACUGAUGGAAUAGUAUGUCUAAGCUUGUAGGGUGAGAGACAGGUAAAUCCGUCUCUUGAAUACCUGAGGAGUGAUGGGUAUCUAAGGCUUUGGCCGAGNCUUGUACACACCGCCCGUCACACCACGAAAGUCAGUCACACCCAAAGCCGGUGGGGUAACCGUAAGGAGCCAGCCGUCUAAGGUGGGGCCGAUGAUUGGGGUGAAGUCGUAACAAGGUAGCCGUAUCGGAAGGUGCGGCUGGAUCACCUCCUUUCUAAGGAGACAAGAAAGUUUAAAUGUACUUUCGUAAUCCAAGGUCGACACAUUUGGCACUACAUUGUCUAGUUUUGAGGGAAUACUCUUUUAUGUCCAUAUAACGAGGAAUUGUGUUAACAGGUUGCAAAGUUCACAAUUGAUGUUUGUUGAAAUUUGAGAGUGCUAAAUAUUCCCGUAAGAGAGUCGUCAUAACGAGUAUCGCUCAGCAACACGGCGAGGAUGAGUUGUAGGAACGACUUGAAGAUGGGCCUAUAGCUCAGCUGGUUAGAGCGCACGCCUGAUAAGCGUGAGGUCAGUGGUUCAAGUCCACUUAGGCCCACCAUUUUAUUUUUGCAAAUAAAUAUCUGUUCUCAUAUGGGGGCGUAGCUCAGCUGGGAGAGCACCUGCCUUGCAAGCAGGGGGUCAGCGGUUCGAUCCCGCUCGUCUCCACCAUAAAAUAUCUUAAACAGAUAAUUAUGAAAAGCGGAGCUUUUUAGUCUCUGCGGAUGUUCUUUGAAAACUACACAGAAGAAAAUAAAAUGUAUGAAAACCUCUCUAUAUUUUAGAGAGUGAAUUAACGAGCAUUUUAGGAUUCAAAAAAGAUUAAAUUAAGCAUUUAAGUAUAAACUUAAUGGCUAAAUUGAUUUANUUGAAUUUUGGUAAAUGAUGUACAGGAUAGGUGGGAGACUGAGAAUAUAGAACGCAAGUUUUGUAGGAGUCAUUGUUGGGAUACCACCCUUCAUUUACUGGAAUUCUAACUGUAAGAGUAACGAAAUUCAAGACAGUGUCAGGCGGGCAGUUUGACUGGGGCGGUCGCCUCCGAAAGAGUAACGGAGGCGCCCAAAGGUUCCCUCAGCGCGGACAGAAAUCGCGCGAAGAGUGCAAAGGCAGAAGGGAGCUUGACUGCGAGACGGACAGGUCGAGCAGGGACGAAAGUCGGGCUUAGUGAUCCGGUGGUACCGAGUGGAAGGGCCAUCGCUCAACGGAUAAAAGCUACCCUGGGGAUAACAGGCUAAUCUCUCCCAAGAGUCCAUAUCGACGGGGAGGUUUGGCACCUCGAUGUCGGCUCAUCACAUCCUGGGGCUGAAGUAGGUCCCAAGGGUUGGGCUGUUCGCCCAUUAAAGUGGUACGUGAGCUGGGUUCAGAACGUCGUGAGACAGUUCGGUCCCUAUCCAUCGCGGGCGUAAGAAACUUGAAGGGAGCUGCUCCUAGUACGAGAGGACCGGAGUGGACGAACCAAUGGUGUACCAAUUAUUCCGCCAGGAGUACAGUUGGGUAGCUACGUUCGGAAAGGAUAAACGCUGAAAGCAUCUAAGCGUGAAACCAGCCUUAAGAUGAGGUUUCUCAUAGAGUAAUCUAGUAAGACCCCUUGAAGAAGACAAGGUUGAUAGGCCAGGAGUGUAAGUACAGUAAUGUGUUCAGCUGACUGGUACUAAUAGGUCGAGGGCUUGACUU